rnacentral:snRNA from 1 species
AAUAUCAAGCCCAACCAGUU